rnacentral:sRNA from 2 species
AUGAACAACUGGAGACUAAUGAAGUUCGGUUCCCGGUGGCGUUUGACAAGAAAUGGAACAUCUUUGAUUAGCAUUUGUAGCGAUACUUCAAACGAGAUCUCCGGUAUGCUUCUCCCGCUUGAGGAUUCUUCCCGUAUACAUAUCAUCUUCGACCAUGCGUUAUCGUCGGUGGAGGUUGAGCUUCCCAGACUACAGCUGGGAUUUUACCUUAAGCUAGGGGAUUCGUUUCUGAAGUCCAGAGAAUUUCGCGGAAUGGCUGUCGAUCGAGAUCAGUCGCUUGGUACCCUAGUCGGCCUUUACAAUAAACUCGUAUUGCAACAUGAGGACGGUAGUCGACAUUUUAUUCUACCUGAAGGGGCUGUAAGUUGCGUGAAAAAGGAAGCUCAUGUUAACGUCACCAUUGAGAAAGGCUCUGCCGCAAAAGCCCAUUUAUACUCCAUAAACAAUCAAAUUUGUGGGCUAAUUGACAAUGGGAGUUUACAGAGCAAAUUGCUUCUUUGUUAUCUCCAUGCUCUCACCUCAUUUUGCUUACCCGAUCCCUUGAUACGUAAUACCGGGACAGAAAAUGCCCUUUAUAUCUUACGCUCCGCGGCCGUCAGAUCUUUUGAUCAGCUAACUGAGGAGAAUGUCAAAAUCCUGGAGCAGAUUGCACGGUUGACCCCUAGAAGAAGAUAUUAUCCGGCAACAGAACGUGUGAUGCAGUCGGUUGAAUGGUCAUCAACCCUCGGCUUUAUGGCUCAGCAUGGUGAAUUCCAUAAGGCCGUUACAUCUAUAUUCGAACAAGCAGAUAGGAUGUCAAUAUUCCACCCGGAUCUUAAGCUUGAGCUGCUUCUUCCGGAUAGUGUUGAUAUAUACCUGUUGGAACGUGAUUCUAUCCGGUCGUCCAGUUUUCGUGGCCCUUCUUUUGGGGCUGGAGACCACACCAUCGCACAUGAUGUCAAAUACAAACCCAG